UAACAUUGCCAAGGAAAGUUUGUUUGAAGAAACACUGUUUGUACUGUUACUGGAAUUGAGCAGUGUUUUCAGCAGUGGCGUUUGUGACCGAUGGGAAGUUUGAUUCAAAGUUGAGGUAACGAGGUUAUCCGGAAGCGGCUUCUGAUUGACUGUGAUGGAGCUGGUGACGAUCGGCGCAUUGAUGUCCUAUUGAAGAGCUUCAUCAAGUGGUGUAAUUGUGGAUCCCAGGAAGACGGGUACACACAGUACCAGCGUAUGUUGGGUACCCUGGGACAAUGUGAAUUCUCAAUGGUUACUGGUCUAUGACAUGAACCUAAAGGAAAUGAAGAACUAUGAAGAAAUGUAAACAGAAAUAGGGCAGAACUUAACAGCUGCACGCUAAAAAAUUGCUGAAUGCAAAAAAUAAAUUUUACAAGCAAAGAGAAUACCAAAGAACCAGCAAGGCAGCUUGAAUCGCUUGACAGAACUGCAGCAUCUGUCUCAGAUCAAAAAAAAUGUUGAAGACAAGCUUGAGCUGAGGAAGAAACAAUUUCAUGUUUUGCUAAGCACCAUCCAGGAACUUCAACAAACAUUAGAAAAUGAUGAAAAGUUCUAAGACGCUGACGAACAGCAAGAAAACCAAAUGGAAACAUUAAAUGGACACUGAGAAGAGACCAAGGAGUCUGUUUACAUGUGUUUCGACCGUCAAUCUUCAAUGUGUAUUAUUAGAUAAGAAAAGCUCUCUUGUCCUUUUUUUUUUUUUUUUUUUUUUUUUAAGCAAAUGUUUUAUGGUAUUAAUAUAUGUUAGUUAUCACUAGUUUCAGUUAUGAAAUAGUACUGUAAUGCCCUAGCAGUGUAUAUUUUUGCUGAUUAUUAUGCUAAACGGAAUGAAAUGUUUGAGUUGCACAGUUACAUUACUACUUUCUUUUUCUUGAUGUGAGAAAGAUGAUGUUUUAAUACAAAAGUGCAUUCCAUGAAUAUCUUUUCUCCUUAAUUAACUUCCUGCCCUGACUGAGGAUGUUUUAGUUGCUCUGUCCAAGGCUACAAAAGUACAGAUAACAUACAGAACAGAGUCAUUUUUGCAAAAUUGAAUUAACAGUGGGUUGUACAGUUAAGGCACACACAAUCAUAUUGAGGAUUAUUUGGAUGUGCAUAUGUUCCUUGGACACUGGUGGUGAGUGACUGCAGCUGAUCCAGCAUGAAUGAUGCAGCUAAUUUUGAGUUUUGUCCUUUUCCCAUUUAUAGACACUGAGAAUAAGCUGUCGUUCCAUUGCUAACAAGCAGUUUAGUGAGGUUUAAUUAUACUAAGCUAUAUAGUGGUUGAGGUAGAAGAACAACUAAAUGUUAUAGAAGUGGAACUUGUCAAUCCCCUGGCCCCACCACUCUUUCAACUACUUAAAGACCCAUAAACUGUACUGCCCUGUAACACCUGUAAAUUGACUUGGAUAAAGGUGUCUGCCAAAUAAAUAAAUAAUAGUAAAUCAAUUUCAUAUUUUAAGUGCUAUAGAAUCACAUUGUUUAAACAAUUGUUUGUUGCAAUGAUACAGAUAUUUUUCACAUGUCCAUUGUAGCUCGCGUUUACAAACUAUUCCUUCAGAGAACUUAUUCCAAAUGUUUCUCAUAAAUGGUAGAAAUUACCAUUGCAGAACAGUGCCACCUAAUAAAAUCGGACAGGUCAUUAUGUUUA